rnacentral:lncRNA from 1 species
CAAGUUUCAACUGAUUCUAGUACUACUAACAAUGAGGCUCGAGAUUGUUCUUAUUCCAUUUCUGAAAUAGUGGGUAGAUCUCUGUUAACCGGCUUCCUAGGUAUGGUGGCACCUAUCGUCUUCGGUGGAUCUAUCGACGCAAAAAGAUUUGGUGGCAUUGUAAGAACGUCAAGCUCUCCCUCUAACAUCUGAACCACCACUUUCAUCGAAGGACGAUCAACGGGAUACCACUGAAUGCACCAAAGUCCAACGAUCAUGAGUUUCUUUGCUAUCCCUGUUUGUGCAUCAUCUUCAAUUCGAAUCCCGAACUCCUCUCCUUUAUCCAAACGAUCAUAUGCCCAUUCUGGGAAAUACACUUGGCUUGUAUUCUCGACCGUAACAUCUAUGUUCUUUCUCCCCCCAACCAUUUCAAGCAACAGCAUUCCAAAACUAUAAACAUCAGACUUAUAUGACACAUUUCCGAAGUUGCGAGACAGUACCUCAGGUGCAAUAUAGCCCAUGGUACCUCUAGCUGUUGUCAUUGAAAUAGCACUUUGUUCCUUGGAACACAAUUUAGCAAGGCCGAAAUCAGAGACCUUAGGAUUGAAGUUGUGAUCAAGCAAAAUAUUGUGAGGUUUGAUGUCGAAAUGGAGGAUACGUUGCUCACAACCUUGAUGCAGGUACUCGAUGCCUUUGGCUACACCGACAGCAAUAUCCUGAAGUUUUUCCCAACUAAGGGAUCGAUCCUUGCCCUUGGCUGCAAAUAUGAACUUCUCUAAUGACUCGUUUGGUAAGUAUUGUUAAAGCAAAUAGAAACUAACACAGAAAGAAAUAAAAGAUCAAGAAGAGAAUUAUUGUUUUUCAUUGCUUUCAAAAUUGAUACGUGCAUGCAUUUAUACAAGUGAAGUCUAACUGACGUAAGCAAAGUAACUGCUAUUUAACUAACACCAGCUUUUAACAAACUAGCUACUUUUUGCAUGCAGUUACAACUGCAUUACUCUUAACAUUCCCCUAGUCAGUCGAUUUCUGAUUUUUAAGUUCAUCAGGCGACAAGACCCUAAGAGCAUAUCGAAACGUAGAAAACAUCUUAGGAGUAAUUGGUUUAGUUAGAACAUCUGCAAUUUGUUGAUCAGAUGGCACAAAAUUGACUUGUAAGUGACCUGCAAGGAUUUUUUCCCUGACAAAAUGGUGAUCGAUUUCAACAUGCUUCAUUCUAGCAUGAUGCGUGGGAUUCUCAGCCACAGAGACUGCAGAGGAAUUGUCGCACCACACAACUGGCACUUUGGAUGGAAAAAUGCCUAUUUCAGCCAACAAUUGUUGAAGCCAUAAGAGCUCAGAAACGCAAUUUGCGAGACUACGAUAUUCUGCUUCAGCAGAAGAUCUUGACACAACUGGCUGCUUCUUUGAACACCAAGCAACAGGAUUUGAGCCUAAGAACACAACAUACCCGGAGGUUGACCGUCGAUCCUCAAUGGAUGAUGCCCAGUCUGCAUCAGAGUAGCAUACUAGUUUGAGUUGACUGGGUGUUAGAAACAAACCAUGAUCUAUGGUACCAGCUAGGUAUCUCAGAACCCGUUUUAGUGCUCUCCAAUGAGCUUCUCUUGGAGCAUUCAUGAACUGGCUGAGUUUAUUGACACUAAACGACAGAUCCGGCCGUGUUAUACACACAUAUUGUAGCAUCCCUACAACACUUCUGUACAAGUGAACAUCUACCAAUGGAGGACUAUCAACUGAAGCGGCUAACUUUGGAUUGCUUACCAUAGGUGUUGGUGUGGGGGUGGCCUCGACUAGCCCAGUUUUUUUAAGUAAGUCAACAAUAUACUUCUUCUGACUGAGUAGAAUUCCCUGUUUAGUGUGCUGAACAUCAAUUCCCAGAAAGAAAUUGAGCUCUCCCAUAUCCUUGAGAGCAAAUUUGCUAUGAAGGUGAAGUAUGACAUCUGCCAUUUCUUGAUCAGAACUACCUGUGAGAACAAUGUCAUCAACAUAGACCAUGAGCAGAAGUUUCUUUCCAUCAGAUUCACGAAUAAACAAGGAGGAGUCAGCCUUGGAUGCUUGAAAACCAAGCUGAUCAACAAGGUACUGUUUAAGAGUUUGGAACCAUGCACGGGGUGCUUGUCGCAGACCAUAGAGAGCUUUGUGCAACUUACAAACGAGCUUCUGACUCGAGGAAUCACAUACUUCAAAACCAGGGGGUUGCUCCAUGUACAACUCUUCAGUCAGUUCUCCAUUGAGAAAGGCAUUAUUAAUGUCAACUUGCCUUAACGACCACCCAUUUAUAACAGCAAGAGCAAGAACCGUGCAAAUAGUGGAGGCUCGAACCACCGGACUAAACGUGUCACGGAAAUCAAAUCCUGCAUGUUGAGAGAAGCCUUUUGCUACCAGCCGAGCUUUGUAUCUGUCCACUGAUCCAUCAGCCUUUUUUCUUUAUCUUAAACAGCCACUUGCAUCCGACUGCCUUCCGAUUACUUGGUAGUGAGCAGAGUGUCCAAGUGUUAUUACGAGUCAAUGCCUGUAAUUCAUCACGAACAGCUGUUUGCCAGUCUGGAGAUGUCAUUGCAGUGUGAAUAUCAGAAGGAACCUCUGCUGAAGAGCAUUGGACUGUACUCAUAAAAACCUUUGGUUUGAAAGUUCCAACUUUACUUCUGGUAACCAUGGGAUGUAUGUUGAGGGAAUUUGAAUGAGAAGCUUGUAAUGUUUGAGGUGUAGGUGACAUUGAUGAGGUGGCUGACGUAGGGGUGAUAGGUGUUAACGUAUGAGGUGAAAGUGAAUUCGGUGAAAUAGUGGGGUUAGGUUGUUAUUGUACAGCUUGAUGGUCAGACAAGGAAAGAGGUGAUGUAGGUGAGGGACUAGGUGGUGUAGGUUGAUUAUGAAAAGAAGUGGUGGUAGGUGGGGUAGCAUGAGAUAUUUGUUUGAGAGGUAGGACCAGAAGUUUUGCACUAGACUGAGACACUGGGUUAGACGAGACAAGUGAUGGAGAAAAAACUUUAUAUGGGAAAAUGUGCUCAUAAAAUGUGACAUGACGUGUUACAUAGAUUUUUCCAGUUGUGUCCUGGCAUUUGUAGCCUUUAUGCAAUGAUGAGUAACCUAGGAACACACAGGGUGAAGACCGAAACUGGAGUUUGACUUUGUUAAAUGAUCUAAGAUUUGGGAAGCACAGGCAACCAAAAAUUCGAAGGAAUGCAUAGUCUGGCUUUGUUUUAAAUAGCUUCUCAUAAGGUGAUAUAUUUCCCAAAGGCUGAGAGGGUAACCUGUUGAUCAGGAAGACUGCGCUGCAAAAAGCUUCAUUUCAAAAUUUUAAAGGCAUGGUAGCAUGAGCAAGCAUGGACAGACCUGUUUCAACCACCUGUCUGUGUUUGCGCUCAACAAGGCCAUUCUGUGCAGAAGUGUAUGGACAAGAGAGACGCUGGACAAUCCCUUGCUGAGCUAGAUAGGGCUUUAAUGCCUGAAACUCUCCACCCCUAUCCGUUUGUAAAACAUGUAGCUUUGCUCCAAGAACUCGUUCAGCUUGACGAUGGAACUGAGGAAAAACAGUAGCAACCUCUGACUUGCUCUUCAAGAAGUAAAGCCAUGUAUAACGAGAAUAGGCAUCAGUGAAGGCAACGUAGUAACAAAAACCAUUAGAGACAAUUGGAGCUGGCCCCCAAACAUCAGCAACGAUCAACUGUAAAGGAGAGCUGUAUGUUGUAGUUGACUUGGAAAAAAGGGAGUUUAUGCUCUUUACCCAUAUGACAAGCAACACACUCAACAAGCUUUUUAUUAUCAGUAAACUGAAUAUUACAAUGUGAAAGAGCUUUUGUAAGAAUAGCACGACAGGGGUGCCCUAGCCGAGAGUGCCAAACAUUUAAAGGGAGCAUUUUGCUAACUGUAAGACAUUGAGCAUGUUUUGAAGACAGUCCACUUUGAGGAAGUUUGUUGAGAUGAAGCCUGUACAAGCCAUGAUGCACAGAACCCUUCAGGAGAACCUCUCUAGUCUGUAAAUCACGGACCUGACACUGAGUGGGAAAAAACUCAAACAUCACCCUGUUAUCUUUAGCAAACUUUGACACAGAUAAAAGAUUUUUAGUAAUACUAGGCACAAGCAACAAGGAUCUCAUAUACAAUGGUCGAGAUCAAGUAAUUAGUGAUGACUGCCCUGUAGACAGAACAGGAAGAGCAGAACCAUUGCCAACAAACACUUUACCUGGUCCUUUGUGUGAGUCACUGUCACUAAGAGAAGUAAUUGAAUUUGUAAGAUGAUGUGUGGCACCUGAGUCUGGGUACCAGGAGUUAUCAGCCACUGUUUCAGGAGUAGCCACAUAAGCCUGAGAUUGUGCUACGCCAGAGGAAGGCAUGCUGACCUGUUGAAAUGGGCUACCAACACACGGGUUAGGCCAGGUAGAUGGAGAGGGAAUUGGAAAACACCAACCUGGUGGAAACCACUGCAUAUUUUGUUGAGGAGGUGAUGACCACGGUAUUGUAGUGGGACUGGAGUUGACCAUACAAACGUUUGCUUGAGGAUGAGGCCGAUAGUUACUACUUUUGUAAGUGGAGUCAAACCGAUGGUAGCAGCGGUCGACUAGAUGCCCAGGCUUUCCACAUAGCUGACAUUGAAUCUUUGAGCCAGAGAAACGCCCUCGACCACGGCCCCGAGAACUAGUUGAUGAUUUGUAAGCAGGUACGGAACUAUUGUCAACAAUAGUUGUUUCUGAAUUCUGAUGAGACACCAUGUUGGCUGAGCUAGAAACAUCAGAGAUCACAACCUGUUGCCGAUUUUCAGUAUCAAGAAGCAUGGACGUGACUCCUUGAACUGUGUAAGGAACUUGACUUGCUGCAACAAUAGAAAUUACAGAUUCAUAUUCAGUAGAAAGACCAUUCAAGAUUGCUGUAACAUGCUCGCGCUCACUGAUAACUUCACCAUAACUAGCCAAAGCAUCACAACAACUCUUAACCUUCAUCAAGAACUCUUUCAUACUCAAGUCACCUUUGCGUUGGGAGUGCAAAGAUCUUCGAUGAAACAUUAAUUUGGAGGUUGUUUGCGUACCAUAUAAAGCAAUAAUAGCAUCCCAGAUUUUAGCACUGGUGUCCAUACCAAUGAGAUGAGGAAGAACAGUUGGAUUAAUCGAAGAUAGCAACCACGAUGCAAGCGCACUGUCUUGCUGUUCAUACCGCUCAAAUUCUGGAUUUUCCCGAAGACCACCAUUGUCACCUGCAAUAAACUGGACAGGAGUUUGCUGUGAGUCCAAGAACCCUUGAAGCUUAUGCGCUUUUAGUGCCAAGAGAACCUGUUGCCUCCACAGCAAAUAGGUAUUAUCAUCAAGAAGAAUACUAAUCUUCUUUGUAGAAAAUAACCUAUUGUCGACUACACCAUCAGCCGCAGCACAAUCCAUGACAACAAAAACAAAAGAGUAGCACAGCGGAUAGACGAGAAAGCUGACCCAGGAGAAGCCUUAAUCUGAUACCAUGUUAAAGCAAAUAGAAACUAACACAGAAAGAAAUAAAAGAUCAAGAAGAGAAUUAUUGUUUUUCAUUGCUUUCAAAACUGAUACGUGCAUGCAUUUAUACAAGUGAAGUCUAACUGACGUAAGCAAAGUAACUGCUAUUUAACUAACACCAGCUUUUAACAAACUAGCUACUUUUUGCAUGCAGUUACAACUGCAUUACUCUUAACAAGUAUUCAUAAACGAGAGCUCGGUCAUAUCCAUCGGCACAAAACCCAACAAGGCGAGUCACAUUCACAUGGUGGAUUCUGCCCAUCGAACCCACCUCGUUGACAAACUCUUCACCAUUUCCCUUGAAAUUAUUGAGUACCUUGACAGCAACUAAAACAUCACUGGAAAGCCUGCCUUUGAAGACAGUUCCAUAGCCUCCUUGUCCCAGUUUGUCCUUGAAAUGAUUAGUUAUCCUUUUAAUAUCAGCAUAGGAGUAUCUUGAGGGUUUAAGCUCUUUAUAAUCUUCCAAAAACUUUUCAAUCUUGACUUGACUUUCUUUCUCCUUUUUGUCUAACCGAUAUCUCCACCCAACUGCAAUGGCAAUGGUUGCAGCAAUUGAAGAACCCAACACAAUACCUGCAAAUCAGCAUACAUCCCUGUGUUAUAUCCUGUCUAAAAUUAUUGAAGCUAAAAGGGAAAUUCCAUUUACCUGCAACCAUUAGCCUUUCUCCCAAACCUGCCAAACAUUUAAAAUUAUUCAGCUUUGAUACAUGGGAAAUCUAAGAAAAGGGCUCACUGUAAGUUUACAACAUUAAGCUUCACUUUGAUGCAGGCUAAUGAUUUUUUUUUAUAGUUAUAAUAGUUAAAACAUACCUAUAUGGUGUUUGGGGAUAUCAAAACACUCGGUUUGUUCCUUGGUGCUAUUAUUGUUGUUCAAUCUACAUCCCCUUCCUUGAGCUUCGCAAUCACCACAGUCUGGUUUAUACCAACGUAAUUGAAAACGGUUACCAUAAGGAGAAAUGGGCGUUGAGAAGUUGCGAAAGUAGCUGCAAUUCAACAGGUUCUCUGGAUAAAUAGGGUCAUAAGAAGCAAAAGCUAUAAUUUGGGAGCCAGGGGUGCUUAAGCAAUCGACUCUGUUUCCUUCAUACAAAGCCUUAUCUUGGCUUGAACAUUCAAACAAGGCAUAGUUGGAUUCAGUUGGCUGGGAUAUAUAAACUUUUAGGCGGCUGAAACCUUGUUGUUCCACCGCGAAUGGAAAGGCAGAAAAAUUGAGAUCUAAAAGCUGCCGCCAGAGGCAACCGCCGGGAAAGUCCAAGUUAAUCCGCUGAGCUUCAUAAUCUAUGUGCUUCACCAACAGCUCCAGCGAACGUGGUAUCUUCAGCAGGGUCUGUUUGUUUUCUGAGCAGGAAAGCUGAAACCCAGGAUGAGGAUAGCCGCAGUGGGGUGACUGCUGGCCUUCUAAACGGAAGGGGAAAUGGACAGGUGGAUCCUGGUGGUUGCACCGCCGCGCCUUGCAGUCGUCUUGGAUUGGCACUGCUUCUGCAACAUCCACAGCUAAGAUAAAGCAGAAUAACGAGUAAAUUAACAUUGUUCUUACUAACUUGUGAGCCCCUGAAGUGAAACGGGCUUUAAAUAAUUUCAUUGACAUAGGUGGUUCAGCCCUUGAGAGUUCCAAUUAUGCACGCAACGCAGCUGCUGCUUUACCAUAUAGCUUUGUCUCGUUUAACAGGGUCUUCAACUCUCCGUCCUCUCUUUGUUCUCUUUUCUGAGUAAAUGUUAGACAUGUUUGAUUGUUAGCAACCCUUUCUAACUUUGUUACUAAUUUUCUUUUAUUCCCGUUAGUUGUAGUAAAAUUUGAGGGAAAAACACUGAACAUGAGAAUGAAUACCGAUUUGCUGUUGUGAUCAUAGUGGGGUCAGCUUGACUGACUCUUGUUUUUCCACCUUCGUUGAAGUUUCCUCUUCCCUUUAUAGUUUUUACUACAUUUUGUUUGGUAUGACUAAGUAGUUGACUGACUUUUAUGGGUUCUUUUUAAUGUCUAUCGUUUUUUUUCUAAUGUAGGUGAUUUUUUUCUCACUUUUUUUUUCUAAUUUAUCUUUUAUUUUUGGAUUUUAAUUCGAAAUCGCAAAACUUGAACCAUCAUAUGUUUUUAAAUUUUAAAUCACUUAUUUUAGAUAGAACAAAUUUUUUAAAAGUGGAUACAAGACAAAAUGACAUAAUUUUUUUAAUAUGAGUAUGGAACAAUUAUAGUCAUUGCUUGUUCUACUCGUCCUAUCUCGAAAUAAUCUUUUACCUUUUUUGUAUAUAAUUAUUAAAAUGAUAAAAAUGUAAUAAUAUAUUAUAGGAAAAAAAUCAUAUGUUUUAUAUUUAUAUUUUUAAAAAAUUAUGUUUAAAUACUUACUCGUCCUAUCUCGAAAUUUCUUGUAGUUAUACUGUCUUUGAGAUGUUUUUAUUCGCGAUUUUGAACUAAUUUUCUAAAUACCUAGGGGAGAUGAACCUUAUGAUGAAUUUUGUCUUUUGAUUUCUGUUUUAUGCAAUGAAUAAUUGAAUCUUAUUCUCAAUUAUGUGUGCUUAAUCCUUGAUUUAAGAUUUUCGAAUUAUUAAUUCAUGUUUGAUGUGCUUAAUUAAGAGUAGAUCUAGCAUAAUUGAGUGGAGUUGCAUGUAAUCCUAGAAAUAGGACGACAUAAAUCUAACGAAUUAGGUAUUCAUAAACGAGAACUCAAUCAUAUCCAUCAGCACAAAACCCAACCAGGCGAGUCACAUUCACAUGGUGGAUUCUACCUAUCGAACCCACCUCAUUGAUGAACUCUUAAUAUUUAACUAAAGUUUGCUUUCUACUUUUUUUUUAUUUCCAUUUUUAAGAAAAUGUUAUUUUAUUAAUUCAAUUAUCUAAAUUAAUAUUAUUUUAUUUAAAUUAUAUUAAUCCUCAUUUAAUUAUUACAAGUAUAUUAUUUUAAAAUUAUAAAAAAUAUUAUUUAAUAAAUUAAACAAAUAAACAUUUAAAAUCACAUACAUUACAUUAAAAACUAAUAUAUCUAAAUAUAUAUUUUACCACUUAUUUUAAUCUUGUUAUUUUUAAUUUCAUCAAAAUUAUAUAUCACUCGAGCCACUGCGACUGCUGACUGGUGAUUAUUGAAAGGUUCUGAAUUAAUACAUCCAAGACUUUUAUGAGCAUCGCCAUUGACUGACCGACGACUUGAAUUAAAGAAUUUUCCACAUUAGCUUUGUUAGUGGACUGAUUUUUCAAAGAAGGACUUGCUCUCAAUUGCAGCCAUAAAAUAAAUGAAUGAUUGGCAUUUUACAUUAAAGAACAUCCCAUUGUUUAUUUCUUCAUCGGAGCUCCACCGGAACUUGAUGAUGUUAAGACCCAGACUUGUCUUGUUUAGCAUCUUUGCCCUUACUUUAUCCCCAGAUGUUUCCGAUGGUAGAGCAGGCAAAAGCAACCACUGCGGCCCAUCUUUGUGUGGACACGUUAAUAUCAGUCACCCUUUCCGACUAAAAGGUCAGCCUCGUCGAUGUGGUGACCGUAGGUUUGAAUUAGAGUGCAAGAGAAACCGCACCAGUUUUCCCAUGAAAUACGGAAACUUUUAUGUCCUAAACAUCUCUUAUGUUGACCGAACGCUUCGACUUGUGGAUGUGAGUCUGGUCGAUGAAAACUGCUCAAUUCCUCGCAGUUCCAUUGUCGAUUCUUCAGACAGCUAUCUAGAACACAUAAUAGCGAAUGGAGCAGACACCAUGUAUCUGGUAAAUUGCACGACAAGUAUGAAGUCUUCUUCAGUUUAUGUCGAUGCUUCUCGUUGCCCAACCAAUAGCUCUUCUUCUCCUUGGACCUACUUCUACUUUCCGGUCUCGUUUUCAAAUAUAUCCGAUUUCGAUCAUUCGUGCAGAUUUAUAGCCCAGUUUCCUGUCAUGCUUUCCAAUAUUAGUGGCUUAUCCCCUUCUUACAUUUACAAAAACCUGUUGGAAGGCGUCGAGGUGUCCUGGUAUCGUUUUUGGCCUUCAAACCCGAUUCUCAAAGUGUAAGAGACUUCGAUCUUUAGAUUCUUUCAAUCUAUAACUUUUCAAGGCCUUAUUUAUUGAUUGGUUGCUUUUUUUUUUCCUGGGGGGGGGGGUAUUCUAGCUUGCUACAGUUGCUACUUCCAAUUGCAGCAUACAUAGUAACCAUUGCGAACUUUCUUCAGCAGGGAAGCAUCAACUAUUAUACUCCUUAUCAUAAAGGUUAAUGUUUCAGAUUUCAUAAGUAUCUGUAUUUAUUGGAUUUGCCCUUGAAUUGCAUUCAAGUUAGUAAUACUAUUGUUGAAUUGGUGUUUUAAACAGCAUCCUUCUUAGUUUGUCUUGCAGUAUCAGGUAAAUCUCUUUCCCCGCCCCACUUUUUUAUGUUAUCUUUAUAAAAUAAUCAUGAAUGCUGAUUUAUCCUUGUGUAUGCCCCUUGAUGGGCAAGCAGCUGGCAUAUUGUUAGCGAGAACUUUGUUGGGGAUAUUCUGCCUCAUUACACUUGUUAUACACAAACUAAGGAGGAGGCAUUUAUCGAUGGAUGAUAAUAUUGAGAACUUUCUUAAAAGUCAAAAUAAUUUAAUACCAAUUCGAUAUUCGUAUUCUGAAAUAAAAAGAAUUACGGAAGGUUUUAAAGUUAAAUUAGGUCAAGGAGGUUAUGGUUCUGUGUUUAAAGGAAAGCUUCGCAGUGGUCGGCUAGUGGCAAUAAAAAUGUUGGAUAAAUUCAAAGCAAAUGGAGAAGAUUUCAUCAAUGAAGUUGCUACUAUUGGAAGGAUUCAUCAUAUUAAUGUAGUGCAACUUAUUGGAUUUUGUGUAGAGAGAUCAAAACAAGCUCUUGUAUAUGAUUUUAUGGUGAAUGGGUCUUUGGAUAAAAUUAUAUUUUCAAAGGAGAAUUGCACUUUAAGUUGGCAAAAAUUAUUUGAGGUUGCACUAGGUGUGGCUCGAGGGAUUGAAUACUUGCACAGGGGUUGUCAAAUGCAAAUUUUGCAUUUUGAUAUCAAGCCGCACAACAUUCUUUUGGACGAAAACUUUAUCCCUAAAGUUUCUGAUUUUGGUCUUGCAAAAUUAUAUUCAGUGGAUGAUAGUAUUAUUUCUCUCACAGCGGCUCGUGGUACAUUAGGAUACAUUGCUCCUGAAUUAUUUUACAGAAAUAUUGGAGGCAUCUCAUAUAAAGCCGAUAUUUAUAGUUUUGGAAUGUUAUUAAUGGAAAUGGUGGGAAGAAGAAAGAAUUUGAAUGCAUUUGAUGAUCAUUCUAGUCAAAUUUAUUUUCCGUCAUGGAUUUAUGAUCGAUUUGAACAAAGAGAGAACAUAGAAUUAGGGGAUGAAACAGAAGUUGAUGACAAAAUAGCAAGGAAGAUGAUAAUGGUUGCAUUUUGGUGCAUACAAAUGAAUCCCACUAAUCGUCCUUCAAUGAGCAAAGUUUUGGAAAUGCUCGAAAAUGAACUUGAUCACCUUGAAUUACCGUCCAGACCUUCACUAUUUUCUCUCGAAAAGUCAAUUGAAGAUCAUGUUAGUAAGAAUGUAUCGGAGGAACCAUCAACGUCAAAAAGUUGUGUGGACCUCUAAGUAUAAUGUUUGAUUUUAUUCGGGCCUUUUAUACAUAUAGUUCUGCAACUGUAAGCUUUUAAUUUGUAGCAUUUCAUGUUCAGUUGUAUAAUAUCCAGCAUCAUGUAAUACAACUAUUAAUGGAUGUGUGUUUUAGACUUUAGCUCCUUAGCUUCAUGUUUCAAUUAUUAAAAAUGUCUCCCAGUCACCAUAUAAUGAGUUAAUAUCAAAUUCGUUUACAAUUAUUUAGUAUAUAAGUGACUCUUAACAUUGGGUGAUCUCAUGAGAAAGUUUUUACUGAUCUCUUAUUGUAAUAUGUAAUCAUGAUAAUUAUGAGUGUGGUGUGGCGGUUGCUCACUUCAUUUUUAAAUCAUUUAGUCAAGAAUUUGAGUUCCGCUCAAAGAAAUGGAACACUUACCAACUAUGAAUACCUUAAUUUUGACAAUUAAACAACAUUUAAGAUAGAAUCUUAUCAUUUAUUAGUAGAAUUUAUAUACCAACAGCCAUGCAGCAUUUCAUUUAUGAGUUCAUAUAAAAUCUUAGCAUUGGUGUAAUAUGAGUGUGCUAAUAGACGAUUUCAAGUUUCAACUGAUUCUAGUACUACUAAUAAUGAGGCUCGAGCUUGUUCUUAUUCCAUUUCUGAAAUAGUGGCUAGAUCUCUGUUAACCGGCUUCCUAGGUAUGGUGGCACCCAUCGUCUUCGUUGGAUCCGUCGACGCAAAAGGAUUUGGUGGCAUUGUAAGAACGUCAAGCUCUCCCUCUAACAUCUGAACCACCACUUUCAUCGAAGGACGAUCAACGGGAUACCACUGAAUGCACCAAAGUCCA